UCUUCAACUUUAUCUGAAACCCUAUGUUGGUUAUAUCUUUAAGAUUGUCCCCUGUGUUUAAAAGCAAAAUUAUUUCAUCUGGCAAGGAAUCUGAAAGUAUUUAAUGAUAAUUUGUCUAUAUUUUUUUAAUUUUUUUUAUCAAACAAAGGAUCCUUAAAUUAUUCAUAAUCCCUGAAAUUAUAUUAGGGGAUUUGUAGAAUAAUUAUUAAAAUGUUCAGUGAUUAUGUAAAAUCACUAGUCAUUUUUAGGGAUUAUAUAUAAUUACUAAUGAUUUUAGUGAUUCUACAUAUUCCCUGAAAAAUCAGGGAUUCUACAUAAUCACUGAUUAUACAAAUUCACUGUAA
rnacentral:lncRNA from 1 species